CAGUAGCCGCGGUAAUACGUAUGUCACAAGCGUUAUCCGGAUUUAUUGGGCGUAAAGCGCGUCUGGGUGGUUAUGUAAGUCUGAUGUGAAAAUGCAGGGCUCAACUCUGUAUUGCGUUGAAACUGUGUAACUAGAGUACUGGAGAGGUAAGCGGAACUACAAGUGUAGAGGUGAAAUUCGUAGAUAUUUGUAGGAAUGCCGAUGGGGAAGCCAGCUUACUGGACAGAUACUGACGCUAAAGCGCGAAAGCGUGGGUAGCAAACAGGAUUAGAUACCCGUGUAGUCCCUGUCUCUUAUACAC
rnacentral:rRNA from 1 species